UCAUGCACGCAAUAGAAGUGGAGCUGUCGCCGGGCAGCGCGGUGAAAUGCGUCUCUGCUUGCGUCGAGCACCGCGCUGGUGACGCGGAGCAGGACACGGAUCGCCUCUUUCGAGAUCAGUACUACUACAACUAUGCAAGCCGCCCAGUCUCUUUUCCGAAGUCCCUCGGCGCAUCAACUGCCUCUCCGAUGGCACCGGCAAGCACAGCGAUGGGUGGCCUGCAGGAGGCGGACACAUCCUCUCUUUCUUCCCGACUGCUGUUAGAGAUGGAGGUGGACACAAUCCUGCGCGGAGACCACAGCAGUGAGAGAUGCAGCAGCCCGCCGAGAAGCUGCCACGACAGCAUCCGUUGCGACAGCGCCGUGCAGCAGACAGCUCUGCGCGCUGGUAUCGUGGAGCCGCGCUGGGCCAAGUCCAACUCUUCGAGAGUGCAUUCUGCCACCGAGGCCAUCAGAGAGAGCACCAUUCCGUGGCGCGACUCCCCGGAAAAUGCCUGUCAUGCCGGUCCGGGCAGCACACUCUCGCUGCGACCUCCUCCGCCAUUGUCAUACGUAACAUCGCGCAGUGGCACACGCACAGGAACGCAUGCAUCUGCACGUGUCGCUUCCCUGUCUGCUGCAGUUUCUGCGCCACCUGCAUCCUCCACGAAGCCAUGGGAUGCCAGGGUAGGACCUCCCCGAGUGUCGACUGCCCCUCAGCCGUGCCUGCCCCGCGGACGGAGUGCCGCCAUGCACGAGAGUAUCGCUCGCUUCCUGACCGUGGAAGAGGCGACGGCCUCAGGCGCUAGCGGGGCUGCAUUCUCGCCAUGCACGAGCAGCCCGCCAGUCCGUGAGGCCUCCGCGGCUACGGUCGCCUCCAGCGCGUCUUCACCAUUGCCGCGCACUCCAGCGAGGGAAGAGGAGAACAGCGAAAAGCACCGCACGGCUCGUUUGACGCACAAGACGGCGGCGACUGCCGACCUGCGACCGCGUAAUGCCCUCUUCGCACCUCUUCCGGUGAAUCAAACUCGCGCUGCCGCUUCCAGAUCGCAUGUCUCAAAGAGGUCCUUCUCCGCUUCCUCUGCCGCCAGGGGCGCAGCUGGCGUAGGCGGUGGCCAACGGGACGGGCGCACCACCCUCGUGGCUAAGCGCAGCGUCAUUCCGAAGACGGAAGGGGUGCGAUUAUCAUCGCCGUUAGCGGAGCCGGCAAGAACGAUAGUCACCUCUCGUCUUUCCUACACGGAUCCAAAGACGUUGGCGUCCCUCGACACCGCCGCGACAAUGUCGUCCGAAGGACCCCUCGACGUGGUGGAGGCGCUCAUCUUUAACGAAACUGUGGUGACGGUGACCUGUGCUACGUGCCAGCUAUCAAUCGACGUCUUUGCUCUUCGCCUUGCUGGCACUGAGCUGCCCCAAGUCUGCCACUGCCCUCUCUGUGGGAGCCCGUGCACAUGGACGGCGUGCUUUGGGACUGUGUAGAGGCACUCACGCACCCAAGCCAGGGCCGACAUCCCCGCCUCUACCACGGCAUCAUGCAUGGACAGCCUUGUGCAGGACAGCGUACCCCUUCCGGCUGUUGCUUUUGCUUUUCGCUCUGCGCGCAACUCCCAGCGCUUUCUUUUCCCUUUGCAUCGGCGUUUCUUCUGCACCUACUCUGCGGCGUUCUGCACAUGACGAGCGGGCCGCACCUUGUCUCGAUGCGGCGGUGAAGGGACGGGAGGGCGGCGGCCAUGGACAUGCCGCACUUCUUCUCUCUUUCCAUCUGUGCUCAUCCCUGCAUCUCCACUCUCUUUCCGGCCUCAUGCUCUGCUUUUCUUUUUCUUUAGCUAUUUUUCGAGUGUGCUGGUCUUCAUGAUGCGUGCAGCAGAGCAUGCGCUGCACUUCUCUCUAGACACUGUUAGACGCCAACCCCCCCCCCUACGGACACAAACGCAUACUCACUCGAAGCAAUUCGCUCACCGCGGCGUACAGGAAGGUGUGCCAGCGACCAUGAGG
rnacentral:misc_RNA from 1 species